AAAAGAAAAGGAACGAAGACGACCGUACACUGGCAUUGGACGGCAAAGAACGAACCGACCGUUCAGAUAGCGUUCACAGUACGAAUAGGUACUUAGGGAAGGCGUCUGCCCAUCUUCCGGUGGAUCCCUCAGUCGUCUUUUACGUCUUUGGAAUACUAGGCCACUAUACAGUGGUAAUCGUUCAAUUCAGUUCAAGUCGACAAAUGCUCAUUGCAUUCGCAGUCGUCUAAAAAUAUAAUACGGAUUACAAUAGCAGUGUCGUGGUCAAAGAAGACUCAAGAUCGCCGGUGACGUGAGCUACGGUCACGCGCGUCUGUUCUAUUCUAUCAUCUAUUUAUAGAUUACCUAUAGGCUCAUUGAUACAUUAAAUUUACUUAGCGACUCCCUAAAAAUAUUUUCGAUGUAUAUCUGUAUUUUUAAUUAAAGUUCCCCAAAUAAAAAGGCAAAUGGCAAAA